rnacentral:misc_RNA from 1 species
GAUGAAGAACGUAGCGAAAUGCGAUAAGUAGUGUGAAUUGCAGAAUUCAGUGAAUCAUCGAAUCUUUGAACGCACAUUGCGCCCUCUGGUAUUCCGGGGGGCAUGCCUGUUCGAGCGUCAUUAUAACCACUCAAGCUCUCGCUUGGUAUUGGGGUUCGCGGUUUCGCGGCCCCUAAAAUCAGUGGCGGUGCCUGUCGGCUCUACGCGUAGUAAUACUUCUCGCGAUUGAGUUCGAUAGGUCUACUUGCCAGUAACCCCCAAUUUUUACAGGUUGACCUCGGAUCAGGUAGGGAUACCCGCUGAACUUAAGCAUAUCAAUAAGCGGAGGA